rnacentral:sRNA from 1 species
GCUGGGCACAGUGGCACAUGCCUGUAAUCCCAGCAGCUCAGAGGCUGAGGCAGGAGGAUUGUGAGUUCAAGGCCAGCCUCAGCAAUCUGGUGAGGACCUAAGCAAUUCAGCGAGACUCUGUUUCUA